CUGUGAUACAGACCGGGGUGCUCUGACCCUCUGGCAGGCUCAAGGCCGGCCUCAUUGCGGGCUGACCUUCCUUCCUCGUGUCCUGCAGCUGCGUCCCUUACCCUUACCCCAAAUAAACCACCUUCCCUCCAUCCUGACCCGAGGCCCUCUCCUUUCCCAGGACAAUGGAGGCCGGCAGAACCCCCUGGAUGACCUGUUCAAUUCCCACACAAGCGAUGACUUCUAGAGUUUCCAGGUGAAUGCUCCCAAUUUCCCUUCACAACUGUACCUGUUUGCCUUGGAAUGCGUCUGCUUCAUCUGUGGAAACGUAGCCUGUGAGGACGGAGCUCUGCACUCCAAGCUCCUGGAAACAAUAACGUCCCUGGACCUCCCCAAGGGGUGUCAGAUGGAGCCUUCCAUGGGCCUACUUUUGUGUCUGAGGAGCUCCCUGAAGGACCCUGCAGCUGGGCCAGCAGAGAGCCAUCAUCCCCGGUGCCCUACUGUGGUUCAGGUGGUGUGGAACGGAGGUGUGGUGCUCUCUGUCAGCCCCGGGCCCUACCUUUGGGUCCGUUUGACUUCUCUGUUGCUGUGAUGCCCAUAUUAUCAGAACAUGAAAAAGUCAUUCCACUCAGGAUUUGGGACUGGCCAUGGCACAGUUAGCAAAACCAAUGGCCUGAGGGUUUUUCACCCUGCAUCAUGGAUCUUGUAACUCUUACCUCCCUUCGCCCUGCAUGGAUCUUGUAACUCUUACCUCCCUUUGCCCUGCAUGGAUCUUGUAACUCUUACCUCCCUCUGAUUCCUUGAAACAGUAACCAUAGAGUAUUCAAAUAAUUGCCAUGUAGGCUGCCUUCUGCCAACUGGAAAUGUCUUUUCAGAAGCUCACACACCCUGGGCAAAUCCUUUCCUCUAGAAUGAGUCCCUUGCUGUCCCUACCUGGGAAUUCCACUUCAGAAGAGGCUCUACUGAGCACUUGGGAAAAGCUCGCAUUGGCAUAUUUGCUAGUGUUUUCCAUAAAACCAAAACGUUUAAGUAGAAUAAAUAUCCAACAAAAACUAAAUUAAGUGUAUCCAUACACAGGAGCAUAUGCGGUUUUAACUUGGUAGCACAUUUGCUUACAGAUUUUCAUAUAAUACAUUGUUAGGUUAAAAAUCCAGUUUCUGACUGAACCAUAUGCAUCAUAUGACCCUGUUUUUGUAAUAAAACUGUAUUUAUAUUUACAGUUUGCAAAUGUCUAUGUAUGUAUGUGUAUAAAAAUAUAUCUGGAAGGACACAAAUCAAAAUUGAAGAAGCACUUAUAUCUGG
rnacentral:lncRNA from 1 species